UUAGAUACCCUAGUAUCAUAAUAAACUAAAAAUUAGUAUAAUUGAAAAUUAAUAAUUUUGGCGGUUAAUUUUUUUUUAGAGGAGCUUGUUAUAAGUAGAAUCGGCUCUUUGAAUUUUAAUAUUAAAUAUAAUUUAUUCAUCUCCGUUAUCAAAUUAAUUUAGUAAAUAUUUUUAGUAUAUCAGGUCAAGAUGUAGUUUUUAUUAAGUAUAAUUAGCUAUAUUUAUGUAAUAAAUAGAUUAUGAAAUUGUAUACUAAAUUUGAAUUGAAUUUGAUUGUAAUAAUAAUUAGAAAGUUAUUAUGAAUUGGACCAAUUAAUGUAUAUAUGCCC
rnacentral:rRNA from 1 species